UACGAAGGGGGCUAGCGUUGCUCAGAAUCACUGGGCGUAAAGGGUGCGUAGGCGGGUCUUUAAGUCAGGGGUGAAAUCCUGGAGCUCAACUCCAGAUCUGCCUUUGAUACUGAAGAUCUUGAGUUCGGGAGAGGUGAGUGGAACUGCGAGUGUAGAGGUGAAAUUCGUAGAUAUUCGCAAGAACACCAGUGGCGAAGGCGGCUCACUGGCCCGAUACUGACGCUGAGGCACGAAAGCGUGGGGAGCAAACAGG
rnacentral:rRNA from 1 species